GAGGGUAGGAGGGUUUGGGGGGUGAGGAGGGGAGGAGGAGGAGAUCGGCCGGGGCGUGGCGAGGGAGGAGGUCGGCGGGGCGGUGACCGGCGGCGUCAAGGGCGUUGAUGUCGGCGGAGGCUGAGAGGAGAAGAUUGAUGGCGGGGAGGGAGGAAGGGGAGCCGCCGGCAGCGGCGAGGUGGAGGGGAGUAGCGGCGUCGGAUCCGGAAGGGAGGGAGGCGGCGGUGGCGGGAAGGACGGAGAGGAGGUAGCGGAGGACGGAGGUGCUGCCGUAGAGGGCGGCGAUGUGGAGGGGGGUGCGAGGCUCGAGGGACAUGCGGCGGGUGGCAACGGAGCGGGAGUACCA
rnacentral:misc_RNA from 1 species